AUAGCGUUGACAAACCUAUGGACCGUUCAUAAUUUAUGGCUAAGGGGAUGAUGAUUAUUUUUAGGGGUGGGGGUUCGGGGUGUCACCCAUUUUGUUCUGGGGAGGUAGGGGUAGUCAUCAAUUUUGUACACACGUACU